CAGUCGAGGGGUAGCAGGAGUGCUUGCACUUGCUGACGACCGGCGCACGGGUGCGUAACGCGUAUGUAACUUGCCUACAACAGGGAGAUAGCCCAGAGAAAUUUGGAUUAAUAUCCCAUAAUAAGGUAGAAUCGCAUGGUUUUACUUUUAAAGAUUUAUUGGUUGUAGAUAGGCAUGCGUCCCAUUAGCUAGUUGGUAAGGUAACGGCUUACCAAGGCGACGAUGGGUAGGGGGCCUGAGAGGGUGAUCCCCCACACUGGUACUGAGACACGGACCAGACUCCUACGGGAGGCAGCAGUAGGGAAUAUUGGUCAAUGGGCGGAAGCCUGAACCAGCCAUGCCGCGUGAGCGAAGAAGGCCCUCGGGUCGUAAAGCUCUUUUAUAUGGGAAGAAACCACUUCAUGCGUGAGGUGCUGACGGUACCAUACGAAUAAGGACCGGCUAACUCCGUGCCAGCAGCCGCGGUAAUACGGAGGGUCCGAGCGUUGUCCGGAAUUAUUGGGUUUAAAGGGUGCGUAGGCGGCCUUGUAAGUCAGUGGUGAAAUUUCGCGGCUUAACUGUGAAAGUGCCAUUGAAACUGCGAGGCUUGAGAAUUGUAGAGGCAGGCGGAAUUCCUGAUGUAGCGGUGAAAUGCAU
rnacentral:rRNA from 1 species